rnacentral:rRNA from 1 species
UACGGGGGGGCAAGCGUUGUUCGGAAUUACUGGGCGUAAAGGGCUCGUAGGCGGCCAACUAAGUCAGACGUGAAAUCCCUCGGCUUGACCGGGGAACUGCGUCUGAUACUGGAUGGCUAGAGGUUGGGAGAGGGAUGCGGAAUUCCAGGUGUAGCGGUGAAAUGCGUAGAUAUCUGGAGGAAUACCGGUGGCGAAGGCGGCAUCCUGGACCGACAUUGACGCUGAGGAGCGAAAGCUAGGGGAGCAAACGGG